GGAAGCCGCGAUCCUGGUUCCUCCAGGGCGCGUCAAUUACGGACUGCACUUCGGAGAGCAUCUCGGAGCUUUGGCCCUCCCGUGAUGUCAUCACUUGUGAUCCCUGACAUGGAGGCCAUAUAUGGAUAUGUUUCUGGAACUCCCCAGGAGGGAGCGAGAGAGGAGAGAGAUGCAGAGGAUCUGUCUCUCUUUCUUGGUGCAUGUGUGUGGUGAGAGGCACCUGGCACCUUGGGGAGAGCUCAGGCCUGGCCUCUAGGGUGCUGGUCUUGGCCCUUCUGGAAAGUUCUGUGUGACCCUAUGCAAGUCUUUCCCCUCUCUGGAGCCCUGAGGAAAGAAGGAAGGCACGGUCCUGAGAGCUGUUAAGAACACAGGCUCCUCCAGACUCUGAGCGCCUCUGAAACCAGAAUGAGCAGCUAUUCCACUGAAGCCAGCCAGCAUCCCCUCCAAACUGCACUGUCAUCGCUCCUGGCCGGGCCGCCGAGAAGCAUGUGACCUGGGUGCACACCGGUUCUGCCAGCAGUCAGGGCUGUGCUGUGGGGGACGACUGCCAGCCCCUGGGCUCCUCUUCUUGUUGAUGCAGGGCCUAUGGGUGGCCCCAGAUGGCCAGCUGGCCCCUCAGUCUUGUCCUUCUCUCCAGGCCUCUAGGUCUCUAUUUAGCCUGACCAAAUGGGAUCAGGUGUCUGCUGUGUCACAAGUCCUGGGAUGAGGACCAUUGGGGCCUGAAGAUAAUCUCCAGGCUGCGGUGCCCAGAGGCCUGGUUUCUGACCCACGCAGUCUGGUGCCCGUCGGGGUGAGGGCUGCUGCGUCCCCAGGGGGCACAUGGAUGCUGAGAGAAUCAAAACAGGCUGCAUCUGACGCAUGCUGCCCGGGCGGUCUUGGUGGGAUCUCCGAGGCCUCUGCGGUCACCCCCCAGAGAUCAUCCCCGCCUUCUGCAGCCUCAUUCUCUCAGUGCCCCCAGCCUUGCUCCAUCCGUCUGCACGUGGCUGCACUGGACCCUAUUGGAUCGGCAAUGCCCUUUCCCUCCACCCUUUGGGCAGGUUCUGCACAGUGGCUGGUGCAGGAUUAGAGUAGAUGCGGCUUGGGUGGUCUGCUGAAUGUCCCCUCUCCCGCUGCUGGACGGCUUACUCAGCCUUCUCGGGGCCCCAGGUUCUCACCUGUAAGUCAGGAGCCAUAACCAGCACCUUCCUCAUGGGGCCGAUACAGGGUUUAAAUGAGAAGGUCUAGGGCAGUGGCUGCUUGAGGCUCAAUAACUGCAACUAUCACUAUUUUUAUCCUCGAGGCACAAACUAAAUGCCAUGAGCUCUACUAAGAGCCAGAAGCAGUGUCGGCUGCUGGGAUGUAGAAACCCUACAUCCCAGCCCCAGGGAGGCACAGCCUGGGGGGCAGGGAGCAGGG